rnacentral:rRNA from 1 species
AAGGGCACCACCAGGAGUGGAGCCUGCGGCUUAAUUUGACUCAACACGGGGAAACUUACCAGGUCCUGACAUAGUAAGGAUUGACAGAUUGACAGCUCUUUCUUGAUUCUAUGGGUGGUGGUGCAUGGCCGUUCUUAGUUGGUGGAGUGAUUUGUCUGGUUAAUUCCGAUAACGAACGAGACCUUAACCUGCUAACUAGUUCAUUCCAUUACAUGGUUUGCAACUUCUUAGAGGGACUAUGUGUCGAUAAGCACAUGGAAGUUUGAGGCAAUAACAGGUCUGUGAUGCCCUUAUAUGUCCUGGGCUGCACGCGUGCUACACUGAUGCAUACAACAAGUUCCUAGUCUGACAAGGAUCAAACAAUGGCAAUCUUUAAUAUGCAUCGUGAUGGGGAUAGAUCUUUGCAAUUAUAGAUCUUGAACGAGGAAUUCCUAGUAAGUGCAAGUCAUCAUCUUGCAUUGAUUAUGUCCCUGCCCUUUG